AAAGAAACCAACAGGGAUUGCCUCAGUAACGGCGAGUGAAGCGGCAAAAGCUCAAAUUUGAAAUCUGGCAGCCUCGCUGUCCGAGUUGUAAUUUGAAGAUUUCUCUUUGUGAGAGGCGCCUUGUCUAUGUUCCUUGGAACAGGACGUCGCAGAGGGUGAGAAUCCCGUGUGAUGAGGCCGCCGAUCCGUGUAAAGAGUCAUCGACGAGUCGAGUUGUUUGGGAAUGCAGCUCUAAGUGGGUGGUAAACUCCAUCUAAAGCUAAAUAUUGGCGAGAGACCGAUAGCGAACAAGUACAGUGAUGGAAAGAUGAAAAGAACUUUGAAAAGAGAGUGAAAAAGUACGUGAAAUUGUUGAAAGGGAAGGUUAUUAGAUCAGACUUGGCGGCGCGCCAUACCUGUCCUCUUGUAGGGCGGACACUGGCGCGUGUUUGCUGGGCCAGCAUCGAUUCGGGCGGCGGGACAUGGUCCUGUGGGAUGUGGCUGUUUUAACACAGUGUUAUAACCACGGGUCUCUGCCGCCUGCCUGGAUCGAGGACUGCGUCUGUUUACAGACUAGGAUGCUGGCGUAAUGAUCUAAUAUC
rnacentral:rRNA from 1 species